rnacentral:rRNA from 1 species
GCUGUAGCGGGUGCAGCAGGAGGGGUAAUACGGCGGGUGAAAUCGUUGUCCGGAUGCACUGGGCGUAAAGCGCGCGCAGUCGGGCUUAUACGUCUGGGGGGAAACCCCGGGGCGCAACCCCGGGACUGCCUUGGAUACGGGAAGACUUGAGGAUCGGAGAGGCAAGGGGAAUUCCACGUGUAGCGGUGAAAUGCGUAGAGAUGUGGAGGAACACCUGUGGCGAAGGCGCCUUGCUGGCCGACUUCUGACGCUGAGGCGCGAAAGCGUGGGGAGCAAACAGGAUUAGAUACCCGGGUAGUC